rnacentral:lncRNA from 1 species
CAUCACUGGUUUUAUACGUAUUUUUGUCCGGAGAGGUUGGGCAUUUCCCUUACCUCCAUCUGCUGGAAUUAGGUAUUUUAAACUUUUUCUCUGCCACCUUGGUUAGCCUAGAAUAUGAAAUCUUAAUGAAUAAGGUUGCACUCAUAUCAUAAAAUAAAAUAUAUAUUAUAAAGGAACAAGCUGUUUAAGCUCUAUUUGUUAAGGUUUCAUGAUUAUGUCUGAAAUUAUAGGAAAAAAGUAUUCAAGGUAAAGCUCUAUGAUCUUGUUCCUGGAGUUUGAACAAAAAUACACUCUUGUCAGACUGUAGGCUGGUGAAGUCCCCAGGUGCCCUUUUCAAGGGCAGAGCCCCAGAUUCCAUGGCUACCGUGGGAGUUUAGGUGUGCUUAGCAUUUCACUUGCUGUGGGAAAAGGAAUGUUAAAUAACACAUAUUUUUUAAAAGUGUCCCUUUCUGUCUUAGUCUUUUCGGGCUGCUAUAACAAAACACCUUAGACUUGGUGGCUUAUAAACAAUAAAAAUUUGUUUCUUACAGUUCUGGAGGCUGCAAAGUCCAAGAUGAAGGCAGAUUCACUGCCUGGUGAGGAGGGCCUGCUUCCUCGAUCCAGGACAGCACCGUCUCACAGUGUGCUCACGUGAGUAUUAAACAAAUAGAACAACUGUUCAUGAAAGCAGACUGUGAAGCACUGGGCAGAAUUCAGUGGGGGUGGCUUCCGCACGUAUCUGCAGCUAGAGUAUUUGGAGCGAGCUAAUGCUUUGGCCCGACAGAAAGAGGUUUCCUUCCUGCUGCCUGCUGCGCUGCGGAGGCUGUCAUAUGGGGGUCCCGUGCUGCGCAUUCUCUCUAUGCCUGACGACACCUUAAUCAUGAUCAGAGAAGAUGGAGCUAUUUAUUUCUGGUCCCUGCAGCUGAAGUUGAAAAGAAGAAAGCGGGUCUUUGUAUGUGAUUUUCAUUUGAUAAGGAUGCUGAGUGCUACAGUUUGAUUUUAUUUGCUAUUUUAAACUGCUUCUUAAGUGGUGUGAUUACAUAAAUUGUGUCCUUGAAUAUAAUAUAUUCAUGCUGGAUUUUGCUAGUCUGUAGAAUGCAAAUAAAAUAUGAUCUCUCUAUGUAGUGCAAGAUAAAGCUUCAUUUUGCUUCUAAAAUCAGAUGGAAUGAUGAAUUACAUGUGAUUCCAUCAUGUGAUUUAUUGUAUGUCUUAAUGAAUGACAAAUAGAAAAGAAUCUUCCCUUCCUCCACCCAUUAACGGUUAUAUCAGUUUAGGUAGCUAUGUUAGGCCUUCUCUUCAGAGAACUUACUGAAUGACAGAAUCAGAAAUUCAAAAGACAAAAAGCACUGGGGAGGUAUGCUUAGGAAUGACAAUGCCUGACCCAUUCCAGGAUAUGUUCUAUUUUUAAAGCCAUUCUUUUUAUUAUCUCAACAAAUAUUUUAGUCUCUGUCAUAGACCAGGCAUUGUGAUGGGUGCUGGGAACACAGAAACCCAGUCUCUGCCCUCAGGAAAUGUAUAAUCUAUCCCAGAUAUUAUAGCUGCCCCAAAGCCCUCGGGAUGCAGAAUAUGCUCUCCCUAGAGACAGAAAAUAAAGUUGAUUCUCCAAAUCUAUGAAACAAAUUAUUUCCACUUGAAGGAGAAAAUAAAGAAAAUUAUAUGAUGUUAAACAUGCAUACUACAGGCAAGAAUGGCUUGAGACAACUGAAAAUGUCUGAUCAUUAAAAAGGCAUAUGCUUGUUCAUUUUCACCCUUCAACCCUUUAGGACAAGUCCACCAGCCAGAACCCCAGGUGGAUGACAGAUGUCAUCUGCAUGCUACACUGCAAUAAACUGAUCAUUGG